ACUUUGGUUAGCUGCUGUCUUCUUAGAGGGACUAUCAGCGUUUAGCUGAUGGAAGUUUGAGGCAAUAACAGGUCUGUGAUGCCCUUAGAUGUUCUGGGCCGCACGCGCGCUACACUGACAGAGCCAGCGAGUCUACCACCUUUGCCGGAAGGCAUGGGUAAUCUUGUGAAACUCUGUCGUGAUGGGGAUAGAACAUUGCAAUUAUUGUUCUUCAACGAGGAAUACCUAGUAAGCGUGAUUCAUCAGAUCGCGUUGAUUACGUCCCUGCCCUUUGUACACACCGCCCGUCGCU
rnacentral:rRNA from 1 species